rnacentral:rRNA from 1 species
UGAGGAACAUGACCUUCGGCGGGGGAGUAGCCGGCCCAACGGCCGGGUAAUACCGCGUACGACCUCUCGGGGACAUCCCGGGUUGGUGAAAGCAGCAAUGCACCGAAAGAGUGCCUCGCGGCCUAUCAGCUAGUUGGUGGGGUAAUGGGCUCACCAAGGCGACGACGGGUAGCUGGUCUGAGAGGAUGGCCAGCCANAUUGGGACUGAGACACGGCCCAGACUCCUACGGGAGGCAG